AUUGAACGCUGGCGGCAUGCCUUACACAUGCCAGUCGAACGGCAGCACGGGAGCAAUCCUGGUGGCGCGUGGCGAACGGGUGAGUAAUAUAUCGGAACGUGCCCAGUCGUGGGGGAUAACGCCGCGACAGCUGUGCUAAUACCGCAUACGAUCUACGGAUGAAAGCGGGGGACUCGCAAGGGCCUCGCGCGAUUGGAGCGGCCGAUAUCAAAUUAGCUAGUUGGUGAGGUAAAGGCUCACCAAGGCGACGAUCUGUAGCUGGUCUGAGAGGACGACCAUCCACACUGAAACUGAGACACGGUCCAGACUCCUACGGGAGGCAGCAGUGGUGAAUUUUGGACAAUGGGCGCAAGCCUGAUCCAGCAAUGCCGCGUGCAGGAUGAAGGCCUUCGGGUUGUAAACUGCUUUUGUACGGAACGAAAAGCCCCGGGUUAAUACCCUGGGGUCAUGACGGUACCGUAAGAAUAAGCACCGGCUAACUACGUGCCAGCAGCCGCCGUAA
rnacentral:rRNA from 1 species